rnacentral:rRNA from 1 species
GUCUACCCCCUUGACACCCUGAACAAGCCCGAUCCCGUUUGAUUUCGGAAGCUAAGCAGGGUCAGGCCUGGUUAGUACUUGGAUGGGAAAACAUCUGGGAAGACCAGGUGCUGUAGGUG